rfam:Salmo salar isolate Sally breed double haploid chromosome ssa10, whole genome shotgun sequence.
UUUUAAGAUGAACGUAAGUCGCUCUGGAUAAGAGCAUCUGCUAAAUGACUAACA